rnacentral:rRNA from 1 species
UACAGGGGGGUGCAAACGUUGCUCGGAAUCAUUGGGCGUAAAGCGCACGUAGGCGGUUCGUUAUGUCGGAUGUGAAAGCCCUUGGCUUAACCGAGGAAGUGCAUCCGAAACUGGCGAGCUAGAGUACUAAAGAGGAUCGCGGAAUUCCCGGUGUAGAGGUGAAAUUCGUAGAUAUCUGGAGGAACACCGGUGGCGAAGGCGGCAUCCUGGACCGACACUGACGCUGAGGAGCGAAAGCAUGGGGAGCAAACAGG